rnacentral:rRNA from 1 species
CCUACGGGGGGCAGCAGUGGGGAAUAUUGGGCAAUGGGCGCAAGCCUGACCCAGCAACGCCGCGUGAAGGAAGAAGGCUUUCGGGUUGUAAACUUCUUUUCACAGGGACGAAGCAAGUGACGGUACCUGUGGAAUAAGCCACGGCUAACUACGGGCCAGCAGCCGCGGUAAUACGUAGGUGGCAAGCGUUAUCCGGAUUGACUGGGUGUAAGGGGCGUGUAGGCGGGACUGCAAGUCAGAUGUGAAAACCACGGGCUCAACCUGUGACCUGCAUUUGAAACUGUAGUUCUUGAGUGCUGGAGAGGCAGACGGAAUUCCUGGUGUAGCGGUGAAAUGCGUAGAUAUUAGGAGGAACACCAGUGGCGAAGGCGGACUGCUGGACAGCAACUGACGCUGAGGCGCGAAAGCGUGGGGAGCAAACAGGAUUAGAUACCCCUGUAGUC